rnacentral:rRNA from 2 species
CGAGUGAAGCGGUAACAGCUCAAAUUUGAAAUCUGGCCUCACGGCCCGAGUUGUAAUUUGUAGAGGAUGCUUCGAGCAUGGUCCGGCCUAAGUUCCUUGGAACAGGACGUCAUAGAGGGUGAGAAUCCCGUAUGCGGCCGGGUGCCUACGCUCAUGUGAAGCUCCUUCGACGAGUCGAGUUGUUUGGGAAUGCAGCUCAAAAUGGGUGGUAAAUUUCAUCUAAAGCUAAAUAUUGGCCAGAGACCGAUAGCGCACAAGUAGAGUGAUCGAAAGAUGAAAAGCACUUUGGAAAGAGAGUUAAACAGUACGUGAAAUUGUUGAAAGGGAAGCGCUUGCGACCAGACUUGCGUGCGGCCGAUCAUCCGGUGUUCUCACCGGUGCACUCGGCCGUGCUCAGGCCAGCAUCGGUUUCGGCGGCUGGAUAAAGGCCCUAGGAAUGUGGCUCCUCUCGGGGAGUGUUAUAGCCUAGGGUGCAAUGCAGCCCGCUGGGACCGAGGACCGCGCUUCGGCUAGGAUGCUGGCGUAAUGGUCGUAAGCGGCCCGUCUUGAAACACGGACCAAGGAGUCUAACAUCUAUGCGAGUGUUUGGGUGUCAAACCCAUACGCGUAAUGAAAGUGAACGGAGGUGAGAACCCUUAAGGGUGCAUCAUCGACCGAUCCUGAUGUCUUCGGAAGGAUUUGAGUAAGAGCAUAGCUGUUGGGACCCGAAAGAUGGUGAACUAUGCCUGAAUAGGGUGAAGCCAGAGGAAACUCUGGUGGAGGCUCGCAGCGGUUCUGACGUGCAAAUCGAUCGUCAAAUUUGGGUAUAGGGGCG